GUUUAAAUUUCAAGUCAAACUAGAUGCACAUUCAAAAUUCCAGCAUAAUAUGCAACUAAAUUUAUUUCUACACAAGUUACUUUAUAUAUUUAUUUAAGAAAAUGUCUCCAAUAUGCAUCACACACCUUUUCCUUGUUAAACAAAUCAUUAUCUUCAAUAUGUAGCCAAACUAAAAGUUUAUUCCAAAAAUUUAAUGUUUAUCAUCUAUUCUUUUGAAGGGUAAUUGUCUUCUGAUGUAUAAUAUCCAUUAAGAGAUAUUUUCACCUACAUAUUUUAGAAAAUGAUCUAAAUAUAUUAUUCAACAAAAUAAUGAUUUCACUUUCAUAAGGACCCCUUUCUAUUAACUUUUGUUAGAAACCAUAUUUAUUGAAAUCUUGGGAUAAAUCCUCCUAAUUCUCAAAGUUAGAAUCUUAGGGUGUUAUAUAGAUCUCCUUAUUUUUUAUGUGACUAGAUAACCUUCAUGUAACCACUUCCCCCUUGGACUAUAAAUAGAGGAACGAGGCACCCCAAGAGGGCAUAUCAUCAAAUCAUAAGCAAUAGGCACCAACAUACAUGAUGUAGCAUAUAGCUCGCAUCGAGAGCUCAAACAUGUCUAAAUCUUUUUGUCACCUGUGCAUUUACCUUUAGUUCUUGAUCUCAUGAUCUCCCCCAUAAAUUUACUACCAAAUAUUCCUCGAUAGAGUUGUCAUCUUAACUUAAACUAAGACACUUCCACUGAAGUUCCAUAAACAAUGUUCAAUUCUUGAGUCAUCGAAUCUACAGUACUCUUUCUAUAUUUUUAGUUCUAAGAUCAUAUAUAAAACUAGGUCUUGUAAUAUUAUGAGGAACAAGGAAGAUUAAUCAUGUCCAAACUUGCAAAUCACAAAUCAGUUGCCAUGUUCCAUUCUGGUCCUUCAUUACCCUAAGAAUCAUAAUUCGUUAAUCGCAUCCAAGAGCAGUAGACUACUAGUUGUUCCCCUCUGACCUUUCAUUACACCAUGAUUCCUCACCUACAAUGGAAUAAAUUAGCCAGAAACAAAUCCUAGAAACCAUCAAAUCAUAGAAUAAUCAACCAAAACACACCCUAAAUAAUAUGGUUACCAACAACAACACUAGCUCAUAUGCAAAAAAUAUCACCAAAAUUCCUGAACAAAAAUCACGGACUCCUAUGAUAGGAGGUCUAAAAAAUUCAACUCUCCAUCCAAGUGCCAUCCUCACGCUACUGAUCCAACCAAUCCACAUGAGACGACUCUAGGAAACAAGAUCGAAUACAGAGUUGAGCGAAAGAGCAACCAAAGAGCAAGAAGAUGAAGGACCUAUUUGGAAUUGGAAGUAAAGUGUUUUUAUAGUUUCUAUGCAAUACCAUGGUUAUAGGAAUACUAAAGUAUUUUAUGCCAUAAGGUGUUUGGUUGUAUUUUUAAAAACUAUGUUUUUAAAACCAUGGUAUUGUAGAUACCAUGGUAUUUUUCGAGUAUUGGAAACUUCACUCUA
rnacentral:lncRNA from 7 species